CCUACGGGAGGCAGCAGUGGGGAAUAUUGCACAAUGGGCGCAAGCCUGAUGCAGCCAUGCCGCGUGUGUGAAGAAGGCCUCCGGGUUGUAAAGCACUUUCAGCGGGGAGGAAGGCGUUAAGGUUAAUAACCUUGGCGAUUGACGUUACCCGCAGAAGAAGCACCGGCUAACUCCGUGCCAGCAGCCGCGGUAAUACGGAGAGUGCAAGCGUUAAUCGGAAUUACUGGGCGUAAAGCGCACGCAGGCGGUCUGUCAAGUCGGAUGUGAAAUCCCCGGGCUCAACCUGGGAACUGCAUUCGAAACUGGCAGGCUAGAGUCUUGUAGAGGGGGGUAGAAUUCCAGGUGUAGCGGUGAAAUGCGUAGAGAUCUGGAGGAAUACCGGUGGCGAAGGCGGCCCCCUGGACAAAGACUGACGCUCAGGUGCGAAAGCGUGGGGAGCAAACAGGAUUAGAUACCCCUGUAGUC
rnacentral:rRNA from 1 species